AACCAUACCUCGGGGAGCCUUUGUGUAAGGCUGAGAAUUGGCAAAAGCCAAAAACCCGUUGAACCUGAACCGGUUAGGACCGGCGGAGGGAAGGUGCAUGGAAUACUC
rnacentral:ncRNA from 2 species